ACAACAGUUGGAAACGACUGCUAAUACCGCAUAAGCCCACGGUGCUGCAUGGCACUGCGGGAAAAGGAUUUAUUCGCUUCAGGAUGGACUCGCGUCCAAUUAGCUAGUUGGUGAGGUAACGGCCCACCAAGGCGACGAUUGGUAGCCGGACUGAGAGGUUGAACGGCCACAUUGGGACUGAGACACGGCCCAGACUCCUACGGGAGGCAGCAGUGGGGGAUAUUGCACAAUGGGGGAAACCCUGAUGCAGCGACGCCGCGUGGAGGAAGAAGGUUUUCGGAUUGUAAACUCCUGUCGUUAGGGACGAUAAUGACGGUACCUAACAAGAAAGCACCGGCUAACUACGUGCCAGCAGCCGCGGUAAAACGUAGGGUGCAAGCGUUGUCCGGAAUUACUGGGUGUAAAGGGAGCGCAGGCGGACCGGCAAGUUGGAAGUGAAAACUAUGGGCUCAACCCAUAAAUUGCUUUCAAAACUGCUGGCCUUGAGUAGUGCAGAGGUAGGUGGAAUUCCCGGUGUAGCGGUGGAAUGCGUAGAUAUCGGGGGGAACACCAGUGGCGAAGGCGACCUACUGGGCACCAACUGACGCUGAGGCUCGAAAGCAUGGGUAGCAAACAGGAUUAGAUACCCUGGUAGUCCAUGCCGU
rnacentral:rRNA from 1 species